rnacentral:rRNA from 1 species
UACGUAGGGGGCAAGCGUUGUUCGGAAUGACUGGGCGUAAAGGGUGCGUAGGCGGCAUUAUAAGUUAGUGGUAAAAUAUUGGGGCUUCACCUCACUACGCCAUUAAUACUGUAGAGCUAGAGAACAGACGAGGUAGGCGGAAUAAGUUAAGUAGCGGUGAAAUGCAUAGAUAUAACUUAGAACACCGAUAGCGAAGGCAGCUUACCAGACUGAGUCUGACGCUGAUGCACGAGAGCAUGGGUAGCGAACAGG